CCUACGAGCGGCUGCAGUGGGGAAUAUUGGACAAUGGGCGAAAGCCUGAUCCAGCCAUGCCGCGUGUGUGAAGAAGGCCUUCGGGUUGUAAAGCACUUUCAGUGGGGAAGAAAGCCUUGGGGCUAAUACCCGCGAGGAAGGACAUCACCCACAGAAGAAGCACCGGCUAACUCCGUGCCAGCAGCCGCGGUAAUACGGAGGGUGCGAGCGUUAAUCGGAAUUACUGGGCGUAAAGCGCGCGUAGGCGGUCUGAUAAGCCGGUUGUGAAAGCCCCGGGCUCAACCUGGGAACGGCAUCCGGAACUGUCAGGCUAGAGUGCAGGAGAGGAAGGUAGAAUUCCCGGUGUAGCGGUGAAAUGCGUAGAGAUCGGGAGGAAUACCAGUGGCGAAGGCGGCCUUCUGGACUGACACUGACGCUGAGGUGCGAAAGCGUGGGUAGCAAACAGGAUUAGAUACCCGAGUAGUC
rnacentral:rRNA from 1 species